rnacentral:rRNA from 1 species
AUUGAACGCUGGCGGCAGGCCUAACACAUGCAAGUCGAGCGGAUGACGGGAGCUUGCUCCUUGAUUCAGCGGCGGACGGGUGAGUAAUGCCUAGGAAUCUGCCUGGUAGUGGGGGACAACGUUUCGAAAGGAACGCUAAUACCGCAUACGUCCUACGGGAGAAAGCAGGGGACCUUCGGGCCUUGCGCUAUCAGAUGAGCCUAGGUCGGAUUAGCUAGCAGGUGAGGUAAUGGCUCACCUAGGCGACGAUCCGUAACUGGUCUGAGAGGAUGAUCAGUCACACUGGAACUGAGACACGGUCCGGGAUCCUACGGGAGGCAGCAGUGGGGAAUAUUGGACAAUGGGCGAAAGCCUGGUCCAGCCAUGCCGCGUGUGUGAAGAAGGUCUUCGGAUUGUAAAGCACUUUAAGUUGGGAGGAAGGGUUGUACGUUAAUACCGUGCAAUUUUGACGUUACCGACAGAAUAAGCACCGGCUAACUCUGUGCCAGCCGCCGCAGUAA